rnacentral:rRNA from 1 species
CCUACGGGGGGCAGCAGUGAGGAAUAUUGGUCAAUGGGCGCGAGCCUGAACCAGCCAAGUAGCGUGAAGGAUGACUGCCCUACGGGUUGUAAACUUCUUUUAUAAAGGAAUAAAGUGAGGCACGUGUGCCUUUUUGUAUGUACUUUAUGAAUAAGGAUCGGCUAACUCCGUGCCAGCAGCCGCGGUAAUACGGAGGAUCCGAGCGUUAUCCGGAUUUAUUGGGUUUAAAGGGAGCGUAGAUGGGUUGUUAAGUCAGUUGUGAAAGUUUGCGGCUCAACCGUAAAAUUGCAAUUGAUACUGGCAGCCUUGAGUACAGUUGAGGUAAAGGGAAUUCCUGGUGUAGCGGUGAAAUGCGUAGAUAUCAGGAGGAACAUCGGUGGCGAAAGCGCUUUACUGGACCAUUAUUGACGCUGAGGAACGAAAGCCAGGGGAGCAAAUGGGAUUAGAUACCCCUGUAGUC